AACCUUAUGGACCUGCGGGCGUAUACCUGCGGAAGGAUCAUUACUGAGUGAGGGCCUUCGGGCUCGACCUCCAACCCUUUGUGAACACAACUUGUUGCUUCGGGGGCGACCCUGCCGUUUCGACGGCGAGCGCCCCCGGAGGCCUUCAAACACUGCAUCUUUGCGUCGGAGUUUAAGUAAAUUAAACAAAACUUUUAACAAUGGAUCU
rnacentral:misc_RNA from 1 species